rnacentral:tRNA from 3 species
GGUUAAAUACUUUAUUUUAAGAAGAAAUGGUUUGCAACUAUUUAGUGGAGUUUUCCUUUAACCA